rnacentral:rRNA from 1 species
ACAGAGGUCCCAAGCGUUGUUCGGAUUCACUGGGCGUAAAGGGUGCGUAGGUGGUGGGGUAAGUCUGAUGUGAAAUCUUCGAGCUUAACUCGGAAAUGGCAUUGGAAACUACUUCACUAGAGGUUUGGAGGGGGGACUGGAAUUCUCGGUGUAGCAGUGAAAUGCGUAGAUAUCAGGAGGAACACCGGUGGCGAAGGCGGCUACCUGGACCGGUUCUGACGCUGAUGCGCGAAAGCGUGGGUAGCAAACAGGA